AUUGAACGCUGGCGGCAUGCCUUACACAUGCAAGUCGAACGGCAGCACGGGAGCAAUCCUGGUGGCGAGUGGCGAACGGGUGAGUAAUAUAUCGGAACGUGCCCAGUCGUGGGGGAUAACGCAGCGAAAGCUGUGCUAAUACCGCAUACGAUCUACGGAUGAAAGCGGGGGAUCGCAAGACCUCGCGCGAUUGGAGCGGCAGAUAUCAGAUUAGCUAGUUGGUGGGGUAAAGGCCCACCAAGGCGACGAUCUGUAGCUGGUCUGAGAGGACGACCAGCCACACUGGAACUGAGACACGGUCCAGACUCCUACGGGAGGCAGCAGUGGGGAAUUUUGGACAAUGGGCGCAAGCCUGAUCCAGCAAUGCCGCGUGCAGGAUGAAGGCCUUCGGGUUGUAAACUGCUUUUGUACGGAACGAAACGGCCCUUUCUAAUACAGGGGGCUAAUGACGGUACCGUAAGAAUAAGCACCGGCUAACUACGUGCCAGCAGCCGCAGUAAUAC
rnacentral:rRNA from 1 species